GUCUAUAUCCCGUACAAAAUCCUUUUGUGUUCGAAAGCUAGGUACCUAGGGAGAGAAUCUCUAGGGAUUUUCGAUGGUGGCGCCGUCACAUCUUGGCGGAGCUUUCUGGAACGCCGCUUCGCCGACCGGUGUCGGCUGUUCCAUGCUGUUCCACGUGUGCAUGUAUGUACGCGCGUUCGUCUCUAGUCUCUGUACCGACGACGAUGACCGCGAGUCGUGCAGCUUUCGUUUCGACAGCGUAGUCCGUGAACCGGUGUCCCGUAGCGACUUCGUCGUGACUGCCUCGGAGAACGUCUAGUACUGCCUUUGCUUGAUUGACGGACGUCGAGGGCGAAACAGAGCGAAGGUGCUUGCAAUGCGCUGCCUUGCCACCACAAGAGCAACACACUAGGAUGACUAAAGGACGUAACACUUCUGGACGGGAAUUACAUGUUCAAGAAUUGUUUUGAAAUGUACAAGGAAGAUAUUGGCAUUCUCCUUGCGCCAUCAGCCGUUCAACAUCUGCGAGCUGCAAAGGCUCUCCUGUAUGACAAGGAAGCAAUAGACGCGGCAUUCGCAAUGCUCAUUUUAUGUGCUUCCAAGGGAUGCGGCCAAAGGACGACCUGCGGAUGUGCGAGUCACGUUUAUGGGAGCUGCAAAAAAGAAUUAAAGUGUAUCCCCAGUGUUUGUUA